rnacentral:rRNA from 1 species
CCUACGGGGAGCUGCAGUGGGGAAUAUUGCACAAUGGGGGAAACCCUGAUGCAGCGACGCCGCGUGAGUGAAGAAGUAAUUCGUUAUGUAAAGCUCUAUCAGCAGGGAAGAAAAUGACGGUACCUGUGUAAGAAGCCCCGGCUAACUACGUGCCAGCAGCCGCGGGAAUACGUGGGGGGCAAGCGUUAUCCGGAUUUACUGGGUGUAAAGGGAGCGUAGACGGUAGUGCAAGUCUGGAGUGAAAGGCGGGGGCUCAACCCCCGGACUGCUCUGGAAACUGUACGGCUGGAGUGCAGGAGAGGUGAGUGGAAUUCCUAGUGUAGUGGUGAAAUGCGUAGAUAUUAGGAGGAACACCAGUGGCGAAGGCGGCUUACUGGACUGUAACUGACGUUGAGGCUCGAAAGCGUGGGGAGCAAACAGGAUUAGAUACCCGAGUAGUC